rnacentral:rRNA from 1 species
GACGGAGGAUGCAAGUGUUAUCCGGAAUCACUGGGCGUAAAGCGUCUGUAGGUGGUCAAAUAAGUCAACUGUUAAAUCUUGAGGCUCAACCUCAAAAUCGCAGUCGAAACUAUUCGACUAGAGUAUAGUAGGGGUAAAGGGAAUUUCCAGUGGAGCGGUGAAAUGCGUAGAGAUUGGAAAGAACACCGAUGGCGAAGGCACUUUACUGGGCUAUUACUAACACUGAGAGACGGAAGCUAGGGUAGCAAAUGGG